rnacentral:tRNA from 1 species
GUUUUAAUAGUUUAAAAAAACACUGGUGUUGUAAACCGGAAAUAAGAUCUGCCCCCACUUUAAACACU